CUGAGUUUCAGAGGUCCUCUAAACAUCUUCCAAUGGGUCUUCCUCUUUUUUUCUAGGGCACCUGACCUCCAGUUGGAGAAGAAGAACACUGCAAAUAACUUUCCACAUGGAGAGCAUUGCAGCAGUAAAAAUGACUCUGAGCCAGAGUUAGGAAGACUUACAGCCCCAUAUAGCAAUCUGACCUCACAAGACUCUGCAUUUUACUCUGUACCAUGUGGAAGUUGCAUUCAGUAAUGUUUAUGGCCACAUGCUCGUUUGAACGUCUACUGUUUGGGAUAAAGAAAUUUCCUCAGAAAUUAUUUUUACCCAGUCAGGACCCUUCAUCUUGGAUAAAGCUUCAUUCACUCAUGUAUGUGAACUGACUUAGGGAGAUGAAAAAGAUAUGGCUUUCUAACAAGGAGAAGACUGAGCUCCAAACAAGUCAUAUUCCUAGAGACAGGUACCUGGGCAAGGGAGACCUAAAUUUUAACUGUCAGCUAGGAUUCCUGCAUCAUUCUACAAGAUUGGAGAUGGCUUCAGCUUCAUAUAUCAACUAUUGGAUUAAAAAGAUAGUAAAACUCGGUCAGUAUAAGGACAAAUGA
rnacentral:lncRNA from 1 species